UCCGUAGGUGGCAAGCGUUGUCCGGAUUUACUGGGCGUAAAGAGCGCGCAGGCGGUCGUUCAAGUCGCGUGUGAAAGCCCCCGGCUCAACUGGGGAGGGUCACUCGAUACUGAUCGACUCGAAGGCAGGAGAGGGAAGCGGAAUUCCCGGUGUAGUGGUGAAAUUCGUAGAUAUCGGGAGGAACACCGGUGGCGAAGGCGGCGACCUGGGUCGAGACUGACGCUGAGGCGCGAAAGCGUGGGGAGCAAACAGG
rnacentral:rRNA from 1 species